rnacentral:rRNA from 1 species
CUUGGCCUCAGAUCAGGC